GAAGAAACACCUUCGUUGGCAUCAUGAUUUGGAACAAGAUGCUCUUGUUUGUAUUCUUCAUCACUUAUAUAGUGACAAGAUAUUCCCGUUCCGCGGGAACUAAUGUGUACUGAUCGUAUAUAAACAUGCAGGUAUACUUGUCAUAACGAUUAAACCUUAUACCUUUCCUGAAUCAUAGGCAUUUCUACUGGGAAGCUCAGUGCUAUUGGGCCUAAUUACUACUUGCCGGAUAACUGUAUUUCAAUUCCAGAGCAAAUACAUGCACGCACGACGUCCCAACUAUCAUGGAAUUAGUGGUGUAUUUAUAGACGGACAAGCCGAGCGUUUCACAUACUUGUUUGUUCGCCUGUCAAUAACAAGAUAAAGACUUCAACAUGGAAAAAAGAGAAAGAGCACUUAACAGCUAACGCAUGCUGCAUCUAAUUACCUUAUCCUGCGUGUGAAUAAGAUAUACUGAUACCGUUGCACACACGUAACAUUCAUCAAAACUGGUCAUUUGGGAAAAAUUGUUCAAGUUGUAAAGUAGUCAGGUCGGACCAAACCAAAUUACAACAUUCCUACAACAUUGGGAUUACGUUGUGUGCUAGCUGCGAUG